rnacentral:rRNA from 1 species
GACGAACGCUGGCGGCGUGCUUAACACAUGCAAGUCGAGCGGUAAGGCCUUUCUUGGUACACGAGCGGCGAACGGGUGAGUAACACGUGGGUGAUCUGCCCUGCACUUCGGGAUAAGCCUGUGAAACUGGGUCUAAUACCGCAUAUUACCUCCUAUCGCAUGGUGGGUGGUGGAAAGAUUUAUCGGUGUAGGAUGGGCCCGCGGCCUAUCAGCUUGUUGGUGGGGUAAUGGCCUACCCAGGCGACGACGGGUGUCCGACCUGAGAGGGUGACCGGCCACAAUGGGACUGAGACACGGACCAGACUCCUACGGGAGGCAGCAGGGGGGAAUAUUGCACAAUGGGCGAAAGCCUGAUGCAGAGACGCCGCGUGAGGGAUGAAGGCCUUCGGGUGGUAAACGUCUGUCAGCAGGGACGAAGCGCAAGUGACGGUACCUGCAGAAGAAGCACCGGCUAACUACGUG